rnacentral:rRNA from 1 species
AUGGCAGAGCUUGCGGCAGGCGCCGUGAGCUCGCUGCUGGUCGUCAUCCGCAGCGAGGCGCUGCUGCUGCGCGGCGUCCGGGAUGACGUGCAAUUCAUCAAGGAGGAGAUGGAGAGCAUGAAGAGCUUUCUGGCGCACCUGGCCAGGUGGGCACCGCCCGGUGGCGAGCACGACGAGCAGGUGCGCACCUGGAUGAACCAGGUGCGGCUGCUCGCCCAGGACUGCAACAACUGCAUCGAUCUCUACCUCUACAGGGGGAACCCCGACAUCCACCGUGCCAGAGGUGGGCUCCGAGGCUACCUCUGGUGGGCGACCUGGUUCUUGCACAAGCUGGCUGCGCAGCACCGCGCCGCCGAGCAGCUGCGCCUGCUGAAGGAGCGGGCGCGUGAUGUGGGCGAGCGGCGAUUGAGGUACGGCGUGGAGGUCCCGGACAAGUCCGAGAAGGGGCAAUUGGCUCUGACGGCAUCCUCGUCGUCGUGGGCUGCUGCAGCAGGUGGCUAUGCGGCCGGGGAUGACGAAGAAGAAGACGGUGACGGUCAACUCAUGGGGGCAAUGGCGACCAGCAGCCAUUCUGGUCCACGAGCCUUCACCGAGCCUCGCACUCUGGACGACUACGUCAGGGCAAAGCUAUGGGAGUGGUUCAAUGGAAUUCCAGGAGACGCCGGCGAAACUUUGUCCAUGGUCGUUGUGGCACCCUACACAUAUCAGGACCUCCUCGCUCUUGUAGAAAAAAUGUGGCUUUUCAGUCAAAACCCAAAUGGCGGCUACCAUCGCAUUGUCGUGGUUGACAUCCCGGCUGUGCACCAUGAGUUUGCGCCGCUACGAGCCAAGGAGGUUCUCUUCUACAUUUUGCGCGAGCUCAAGCGUGCCAAAUCCAACCCCCAGGAGCAAGGCACAGAAGGCCAGGUGGAUCUCGACCCUUGGGAUGUUUACCUAAGAAGAUGGCAAAUUUACCAUGAAAAGAAGAGAGCUAUUGCUCUUCUUGACAUCGAGGAGAAUAUUGACAAGAUGAAGAUUUAUGAAAAGCUUGACAAAAUCAAAAGUGAUACUCAAGGUCGACUAGCAAAGGGCGAUGGACUACCUAAGGGUGACAAGCUGCAGGGUGAUUUUGACCAGUUGGACUUGGACGUACUACUUCAGUUGCUGCUCCAGACAGCAUCUCCACAACAAGAUCAAAAAGGGAAGAGCAAAGACAUGCAUAGAUUACCAGCAUGGGAAAGCAACAACAUCAUCGUGAAGAAGCUUAAGGAGCAUAUGGAAGCAGAGGAAAAGGACAAGAAGAUUGAAGAGGAAGAGGAAGAAGCUGCCAAGCAUAUGGGGCUGGAAGAAGGAGAAGAAUCCGCGGCCAAGCAUAUGGAGGAGGGGGGAGGAGAAAUAACAAUACAUAAUGAGGAGGAAGAAGAAGGAGGAGAAACAGGCAAGCAUAUGGAGGAAGGAGGAGAAGUGACUGUACAUAGUGAGGAGGAAGAAGGAAGCGGAGAAGAAGGAGAAAUCAAAAGUCAGCAGACUGCGGAAGCUGUUCCCCAAGAGCAGCAGCAGCAGCAACAACAGAUGAUGGAUAAAAUGAAGCAUGAGUUCAAAGAGCAGCUCAAGAUCAAGGGGCUCGUGGAAGAGAUUAAACAUAACUUGGAUUAUCAUCCGUUCCGGAAUAAUUAUGAAUGCCCCCUGUUUAUGCUCAAAGUUGAUGAGCUGAUGGAUAUUUCCACAUGUGAGGAUAUCAGAAAUUCUUUGAGCCUGUUAAACUGCAGUGCCGAUUUAAUGAUCGUAACCGCUGCAAAGGACAUCCAGCAAGCUAAAGAUUAUUGCUAUCCACAGGCUGAACCUAUAGACUAUUCUCUUGCUGGCCUCUACCAUGAUACAGUGCUCGAGCUUACUAGUCAGCAGAAGAAUGAAGACAGCUACAACCCCCAAUUUUUUCAUGAUAUCUUGUACGAGUGUGAGCCACAUGAAUUCUGCAUGAAGGUCUUCACUCAUGCUUUGUAUGCUAACCCCAAGAGGAGUGGUGAGGAGUUACACAAGCUGCACAGCACCUUGCAGGCUUUGCCAACAGCAUCAUUCAACAGCAUCGCUAAGGUGAUGGUCAAGUUCUCUUACAAUGACCUGCCUAAAGAAUACAAGUCAUGCUUGCUGUACCUAGCUAUCUUCUCUCCCGGACAAAAGAUCAGUCGGUCAACCUUGAUUGCACGGUGGGUGGCGGAAGGGCUGACAUCCAAGGAAGACUGGCCUAGUUCUAUGCGUCAGGCCAACCGAUGUUUUGACACACUCAUUGGCCGGUGCCUUGUUUAUCCUGCUGAUAUUGGUACCACAGGAAAUGUAAAGAGCUGCAUCGUUGGUGAUCCGGUUCAUGGAUUCAUUACUGCAAUCGCCAGAAAACAACACAUUGUGGAGACACGACUGUCACAUCACUUGGCUCGCCACUUCUCCAUUUUCAACGAUCUCCAACUCCGGAGCUCUGAUAGAAUUGAUAAAUUCUUCCAGGGGCUCUAUAAAUCAUCUCAAGUGUCCCUGCUCAAGGUGCUAGAUCUAGAAGGGUGUCAGUGCUUUGCUGGGAAGAACCAGAGGUACCUCAAGGAUAUCUGCAGCAAGAUGUUACUGCUCAAGUAUCUGAGCCUGAGGAGAACAGAUAUUACCCAGCUACCCAAUGAAAUCAACAACCUCCGUGAGCUAGAGGUAUUGGAUAUCCGACAAACUGAGAUACCUCAACAUGCAACAGCAAAUAUCCUGCUCUUGAAGCUGAAGCGUCUGCUUGCUGGUCACAUUGAUCCAAGCAAUUUUGGCUAUAGUGGCCGGAUUCCUCAUAGGAUCGAGAAAAUGGUAAACAUGGAGGUACUAUCCAAUGUCAAGGCCCAGCACAGUCAUGAUUUAAAAGAUAUUGGAAAGCUAUGGCAGCUGAGGAAGCUAGGUGUGGUUAUCGAUGAUAAGGAUAAGCACCUCAAGAAUUUGCUUCAGACGAUCAGUGACCUACAUGAGUGCCUCCGUUCUCUGUCAAUCACUACUAUUCCCGUCGCCACACCAUGCGAGGCAGAGUUGCCAGCUGUCAAGAACCAUCCCAAGAUUCUAGAGUCUCUAACUAUCAAGGGAACCACACAGAAUGGGCGUCUUCUUCCAUUGUUCAUAAAAAGUGACAACAACAAACUUGCCAAGAUAACUCUAGGUCACACUCUGCUGAGCCAAGAUGAUCUGAAAGUCCUUGCCAAGCUGCCCAAGUUACGGUGUGUCAGGCUCCAACACAUUGCUUGCACCGAGCACAUGCUGAACUUCAAGGACGGUGAAUUCAGAUGCCUCAAGUACCUUGUUGUUGAGGGCUCAGACUUGACUAAUAUCAUUUUUGAGGAUGGUGCAGCCAGUGAGCUCGAGAAGAUGGUUUUGUCUAUCACCAGCAUAUGUUCUAUUUCUGGAGUUGAGUAUCUUGCUAAAUUGAAAGAGCUCGAGUUGAACAGCAGCUUCUGCAGCAGUUUGCUGUCAUCGUUUGACAAAGCCAAACAUAUAGCAAAGCUGACUCUGCGUGGUACAUUGCUAGAGCAAGCUGCUCUACAACUGCUCACCAAGAAACCAAAUAUACGCUGUCUGAUGCUCUUGGAGAACUCUUUUAGUGGAACAGAGAAUGAGAUUACAUUAGAAAAAGAUGAGUUCUUAUGGCUCAACCUCCUUGUUGUUGACUGCUCCGCCAUCGCCAAGAUUGUCUUCAACAGCGGGUCUGCUUCUAGGCUCGAGAAGAUUGUCUGGUCAUCUUCCACAUCUCUCUCCGGCAUCGACAAACUUCCCAAAUUGAAGGAGCUCGAGUUCAAGGGUGACCAAGUCCCUCCUGAGUUAGUCAGGGAAACAUUCUGGCCGGAUGAUGUUAAGCACAUUCUACAAAUUCCAUUAAGGGACGGAGUUCCAGACUUCAUUGCAUGGCAGUAUGACACCAAAGGAACACAUUCAGUGAAGAGUGCUUAUAAACUACAUGUCCAGCUAGAGAAGCAGGCUAAAGAUGGAGGAGUGGGUCAGAGCACGACUGUGGCUGGCAACUUGGACAGUACAACAGACGACUCAUGGAAAAGGCUGUGGAAAUUACCCUGCCCAGGGAAUAUCCACAUGUUCGCAUGGCGACUGAAGCAUGAGUCCCUAGCCCUACGUACAAAUCUGAAGAAAAAAGGUAUCCCAGUGAAAGAUACAAAAUGUCUGUUCUGUGGACGCGCUGACGAAGAUGGUGCCCAUCUGUUUAUCAAAUGCAAGGAGGUCAAGAAGGGAUGGAGGGACCUUGCGAUGGAGAAGGAGAGGAUGGAUCUGGAGGACAUCACGUCGGUGCAUGAAAUGUUUGACUAUUUAUGGAGACUUGAUGAGGGGAAGCGACUGCAUGUGCUGACCUUCUGGUGGCUUUGGUGGUCACAUAGAAAUAAGGUGAGGGAAGGAGAGCUUCCGGUAACUGCAAACGAGGUCGCCCGCAGAACUCGAAGCAUGGUGCUUGAAUACCUACAGAUUUACAGGCCACAGCUAAAGAAGACGACACCUGAGGUAUGGAAGCCACCAACGGAAGGAGUAGUCAAAAUUAACCUGGACGGGUCUUUUGUACCUGGAGAAGAAAUUGGAGGCUGGGGCGUUGUUGCACGAACAGCAGAUGGGAAUAUUGUUGGCGCGCGUGCAGGCUGUCAGGCGAACAUCAGAGAUGUGUUUGCUGCUGAAGCUAUUGCACUGUCGCAUGCAGUCUCUUUUGCUGCAGACAUGGGUAUCAUCAGUGUCGUGUUUGAGACCGACUCACAACUUCUGAUGGAAGCAAUGGACGUCCAUAAGCCAGAUUCCUCGGCAUACGCUGCAGUAAUUGAGGACACAAAAUUCCAACUCAAAAUGUGGUUCUCUUCUUUUGCUAUUUCGGUUUGUCGUCGUAAUGCAAACUCCGUAGCUCAUGAGCUUGCGCAUCUUGGUCGUAUGUAUGACCCGAAUCACUAUGUGGAAUGGGAGUCCGAUGUACCAGCCCAUGUGGCUGAAUACACUGACGACGGCUUUGUCCUUCCACUUCGUUGGUACUGGGCGGUCUUUCCGGUUUCGAACGAGACCGCGACGGAGGAGGCCACGGCGAGGGUCCAGCCGCCGAGCCUGGAAGAGGAGGACGGAGAAAAGAGUGUGGGGAUGCGGAGGACCUUUAAAAUGGUCUGCGCUGAACCAGGCAAGAGACCGGCUGUGUAUGCCGGCGACGCGGUGGCGGCGGCCAUCAUGGGACCCAAGCGGCGGAUACCUCUCAUGUUCUACUUUUCGUCGGUGUCGGGAGCCGUCGCAGACGCGUUGACCGCCUCCGCAUGCAGGGCGCAGUUCCGCCAACGUUUGCGGCAGCUGGCGUGGCUCAAGGCGAGGGAGGAGCGUGACGACUUGACGGCGUCCAUGACAGGCAUCAUGGUACUAACGGCCUGGGGCGGCGAGGAAGGUGGAGUAGUGGCAAUGGAGAGUACAACUGGUGUUAUUAACAAGGUGUGA